GGAGAAAUCAACGGACGU
rnacentral:miRNA from 1 species